AUGGAUGGGCUCGCGUCGGAUUANCUUGUUGGUGAGGUAAUGGCUCACCAAGGCGACGAUCCGUAGCUGGUCUUAGAGGAUGAUCAGCCACACCGGGACUGAGACACGGCCCGGACUCCUACGGGAGGCAGCAGUGGGGAAUCUUGGACAAUGGGGGCAACCCUGAUCCAGCCAUGCCGCGUGUGUGAAGAAGGCCUUCGGGUUGUAAAGCACUUUCAGUAGGGAGGAAGGCUUAUCCUUAAUACGGAUGAGUACUUGACGUUACCUACNNAANAAGCACCGGCUAAUUUCNUGCCANCNNCCG
rnacentral:rRNA from 1 species